UACAGAGGGGGCAAGCGUUGUUCGGAAUUACUGGGCGUAAAGGGCGCGUAGGCGGCCCGCUAAGUCGAACGUGAAAUCCCUGGGCUCAACCCAGGAACUGCGUCCGAUACUGGCGGGCUUGAAUCCGGGAGAGGGGUGUGGAAUUCCAGGUGUAGCGGUGAAAUGCGUAGAUAUCUGGAGGAACACCGGUGGCGAAGGCGGCAUCCUGGACCGGUAUUGACGCUGAUGCGCGAAAGCCAGGGGAGCAAACGGG
rnacentral:rRNA from 1 species